ACCGGCGGCUCGAGUGGUGGCCACUAUUACUGGGCUUAAAGCGUUCGUAGCUGGCUUGUUAAGUCUCUGGGGAAAUCUUCCGGCUCAACCGGAAGGCGUCUCAGGGAUACUGGCAGGCUAGGGACCGGAAGAGGUGAGAGGUACUCCAGGGGUAGGGGUGAAAUCCGGAGAUCCGAGGGGGAAGACCGGUGGCGAAGGCGUCUUACCGGAACGGUUCCGACAGUGAGGAGCGAAAGCGGGGGGAGCAAACAG
rnacentral:rRNA from 1 species